rnacentral:lncRNA from 1 species
GCUCUUUGCAAACUGAAAUCAAGGAAUUGGUUCAGAAAUGCACUGAUGCUGCCAAGAUUGCUGGUUUUGCUCUUGCCACCUCUGCCCUCGUCGUCUCAGUAAGUUACUUUUCUUAUUCAAUUCUUGUCUGAUUCAUGUUCAUAAUGCCCAUAUAUCCAGUGUUGUUACCUGCAUAAUAAAGUGAUCAAUUCAGACAGUACAAUAUCAGGUAUUCCAUGUAGGCUCUAGUCACCAGAAAAUAAUGCAAAUUAGAAGUUUUUCAUCAUCAUUCAACCAAGAUCUUUCUAAACCACCCCAUCAUAUUAUGUAUACAAUUCAACAUGCCAGCUAUUAAACAACUUACUAUUAAAAUACAAGACAAAAUGUCAUGAGAACCCCCGUUCUUCAGGGGUGCCCUCAGCGUUAACGAACAUGUACUUGGUUGUAUCUGCUGACUCGUUUAGAUCACGAGGAGGCACAAAAGCAAGAAAGCCACUUUUAAACUAUGAAUGUAUCAGUCAUGUGAAUAGGAUAGGAUGAAAGAGGAAUUUCAUUCAUUAUUUUAAAAAGAAGAAAAAAACUGUCAUAUCCCUCUAUUGUGUACGAAAUUUAUGGUUUCCUUUGGUAUAAGUCCAAUUGCCUACAUUUAAGAUGAUAAGAAACACUAUAACUGGAUUAGAGAUGAUUGCUAACUUACCAGUAUGACAUACCCAUAAUUCUAAAACAAGGUAAAACGUUCUUCAAGUUUGUACGCCUCAUAUUCAGUCAUUCACCUUCUUUGAAGUAACCAUAACUACCAAAUAUCUAUACCAAGAGUAGAGGGCGUUUGAUGUCUUUGAGACUAUAUAGAAAUACUUUAGAAAGCUUAUUUACCAUAGCCACACCAUUUUAUACCCUGACACUGCCACCUCCAAAAUUAAGAUCUGCCUAUUCAAACCUCCAAUGCCUUGGCAAAAUUUCCUAGCUCAUUUCUGGAUGUUCAUGCAGUCAUCUGUAUUUCAGGACAAAUAUCGAUAGUCCUAUAAAGGUCAACUGGUUUAUGGAUUCUGCACUUAUCUAUAAUAUAUAUUUACAUGUAUAUCUAAUCAAAUUUCUACUUUUAUUUUACUUGGUAUGAUGAUGACAUGAGUUGAGCUUAUACGGAGGAACAUAGUCAACGAGAAUUCAUAUAGCCGACCCCAACUUUUGGACUGACGCGUAGUUGUCAUUGUUCUUGUUUCUCAUGCAAAAAGUUCUAAAGUUUAUAUACUUGGCUACACAGGGAGCAAAUGCGGAAGGAGUUCCAAAACGUUUAACCUAUGAUGAAAUCCAAAGCAAGACAUACAUGGAAGUAAAGGGAACUGGAACUGCUAACCAGUGCCCUACCAUUGAAGGAGG